rnacentral:rRNA from 1 species
GACGAACGCUGGCGGCGUGCUUAACACAUGCAAGUCGAACGGAAAGGCCCUGCUUGCUGGGUACUCGAGUGGCGAACGGGUGAGUAACACGUGGGUGAUCUGCCCUGCACUUCGGGAUAAGCCUGGGAAACUGGGUCUAAUACCGGAUAGGAGCCAUUUUUAGUGUGAUGGUUGGAAAGUUUUUUCGGUGUAGGAUGAGCUCGCGGCCUAUCAGCUUGUUGGUGGGGUAAUGGCCUACCAAGGCGGCGACGGGUAGCCGGCCUGAGAGGGUGGACGGCCACAUUGGGACUGAGAUACGGCCCAGACUCCUACGGGAGGCAGCAGUGGGGAAGAUUGCACAAUGGGCGCAAGCCUGAUGCAGCGACGCCGCGUGGGGGAUGACGGCCUUCGGGUUGGAAACUCCGUUCGCUAGGGACGAAGCUUUUUGUGACGGUACCUAGAUAAGAAGCACCGGCUAACUACGUG